rnacentral:rRNA from 1 species
GGAUUCCCUCAGUAAUGGCGAAUGAACAGGGAUAAGCUCAGCAUGGAAAUCGGGGCCUGUGGCCUUGAAUUGUAGUCUCGAGAUGUACCGCCAACGGAGGCGCAGAUGUAAGCCUCUUGGAAAAGAGCAUCAACGAGGGUGAGAGUCCCGUUUGUCAUCUGCAGUCCCCCGUGCACGGUGUACUUUCUAAAGAGUCACGUUCCUCGGGAUUGGAGCGCAAAGUGGGUGGUAAAUUUCAUCUAAAGCUAAAUAUAGGUUCGAGACCGAUAGCAAACAAGUACCAUGAGGGAAAGGUGAAAAGGACUUUGAAAAGAGAGUUAAAAGUGCCUGAAAUUGCUGAAAGGGAAGCGAAUGGAACCAGUGCUUCUUGGCAAGAUUGGUGCGUGCUAAUGUGAUUUCCUGCUGCUUCAGCGCAAGCGUUGCAGUGGGCUUUGAUCAGGACGCGCGUGUUGUUUCUUGCCUUGUGUGUCAACGUCAGUUCUCGAUCGAGGAAAACGCCAGGGACAUGGUAGCUUGCCCCCGGGUGGGUGAAUGUGCUUGGUUGAACUCAUUUGUGAACUGGUUCUUGCGUGUCUGGUUGCAGUGCCCUGCAUCCCUGUGACUCCAUGGGGAGCUCUCGCUCCUUUCAUGGUUGGAGCGGGUGAUCAGGACAUCUCCCUGACACAACGACGCUGACUAAAUGGUUCUAUUCGACCCGUCUUGAAACACGGACCAAGGAGUCUAACAUAUGUGCGAGUUCACGGGCGGGUAAACCUGCUUGCGCAAUGAAAGUGACUGCUGGGAUCUUUGCACCAGCAACCGACCAAUCAAUUGAGAGAGGUUUGAGUAUGAGCAUAUCUGUUAGGACCCGAAAGAUGGUGAACUAUGCGUGGUUAGGGCAAAGUCAGGG